rnacentral:rRNA from 1 species
CAGUAGCCGCUGGAAUACAGAGGGUGCGAGCGUUAAUCGGAUUUACUGGGCGUAAAGCGUGCGUAGGCGGCUUCUUAAGUCGGAUGUGAAAUCCCUGAGCUUAACUUAGGAAUUGCAUUCGAUACUGGGAAGCUAGAGUAUGGGAGAGGAUGGUAGAAUUCCAGGUGUAGCGGUGAAAUGCGUAGAGAUCUGGAGGAAUACCGAUGGCGAAGGCAGCCAUCUGGCCUAAUACUGACGCUGAGGUACGAAAGCAUGGGGAGCAAACAGGAUUAGAUACCCCGGUAGUCCCUGUCUCUUAUAC